GCAUCUCACAAUUUCGUCUUGCUGCAAUUUGAAGGCUACACCAGAGCAGAUCAAGGCCCUUCAAUCACUCCAAACUCUCAACAUCAGAGGGUGCUCCUCGUUGACAUCAUUGCCUGAAGCAAUGUGAAGACUCACAUCCCUUAUUCACCUAACCAUCUACUAUUGCGAAAAAUUGGAGAAGCGUUGCUACAGACAAAUAGGCAAGGACUGGGACAAGAUCGCUCAUAUCCCGCACAUACGACUUGGGCAAACGUCGCCCUAAUUUUCUUCACCGAAGGCUAGACAGAAAUGGCGUAGAUUUUGGCACCGAUGACAUAAUGGCAGUUGAGGAUCACAAAUCACUGACCGCUAGUCCCACGGCAAGAAAAACAUGGAUUUCUCUCUUGCUGAAACAUGAUAAUAAUGGAAACACCUAGAGCUUUUCUAAGUUCGGGGUGUAUGCUUUGAAGUCCGAGAACAAUACUACUGCAUACUCUAGAGUCUUCUCAACUUGGAUGUCAUGCCCUACGGCAAUAUGAUAAUUGCCCAAUAUAUUUGGUUGCUCAAAAUUGGAGGAGAGGUGCCAUAAAGAUGCAGGCAAGGACUAGUACAAGAUAUCUCAUAUCCUGCACAUAAAGUUGAAAAAGGUAUUUACAGGGUGUGGGAACUUCGCUUUGUUCCCAUCGUGAGUCAGGCUGUAGAUAUAGUGUGCAAUCUGCUUGUUUGAUUUCACAAGUAGUGAAAUGCCUGCACGGUCUGAUGAUUCGGGAAAAAUCUCAUAGAUGGAGUGAUGAAAUGUUUCUCUCAAGAACCUUAUCUCAACGUGUUCCCAAAGCAUUGGAGAUUAUGGCAUAGAUUUGCACGGCAAAUCAAGUGUAUGAAUUGCAGCAAUGAAAUAUGUUGCAUUUUUCUUUUCACAUCCUACAUGCUAUUGAUCUAUUAAUUUGUAAAUCAAGUGAUCCCUAGACCUGUAUCACACCUGUCUGGGCUUCCAAAGUGAAAUUACUAUGUAUCAAAUACUGGUCAAGCUCCAAGGUAGGAAAGUGAUCUUAUUGUUAGCAUUUGACAGCAACAUUGUGUUAACUAAAAGCUGCAAAUGGUUUUUAUUUUCUAAAGUGUCUCACUGAAGAGUUUGAAGGGAAAUGCAAUGGAGGGGAGAGGGAGAGAGGAGGGAAAUGCACAUUCUUGGUUUGCUGUUCAACCAUUCUACGGAGGUCCUCAGGUGAAAAUGGCGCUGAUUUUGGCACCAAAGACAAUGCCAGAUAAGCAUCACAAAGAAGUCUCUCACUGCUAGGCCCAUGACAACAAACAUAUGGAUUUCUCUCUUGCCAAAACAGAAGAGUGGAAACACCAAGAGCUUUUCUAAGUUCAGGGUGUAUGCUUUGAAGUCCGAGAACAAUACUACUAUAUGCUCGAGAGUCUUCUCAACUUGGAUGUCACGCCCUACACUAAUACGAUAAUUGUAGAAUACAUUUGGUUGGAGGUUCUAGCAUAGAUCUACAUGGAAAAUCAAGGAUGAUCCCUAGACCUGUUGAGCACCCGUAUGAACUUAUCCUAGUGAACUUUGAUGGAUCAAGUACUGGUCAAGCUUCAAGGAAGGAUAGUGAAGUGAUCUUAUUGUUCAUAAAUUUGGCUACAUGUUCACAUUAGGUAUGGGAUUGAGCAAAGAAAACACCCUACUGCAGACAAAUGUUCAAUGGCCAUUGGGUUGGCCUAUUGGAGGAUAUUGAGGACCCCAGGGGCCUUAUUAUUAUGGUAUUAGGGCUGAUAAGUCAUUUGGCCAAGACAUAUUGAUGCUCACUACAAGGCUUGCUUAUAUGCUAGUAUCACCAUUAGUAGCAGUAAUGGAGAGGUGACGCCGGGCCAGUGAGAAUACCAAGUGGGACCAAGCAUGGGAAUUGAAGCAGGAGUCAUAAAUGGUGUUCAACAUACCUUCUUGAGGUGAAAUUUCAAUUACUUGCUCUAGAAAAUAACGAGAAUUAUUGAGCAAGUUGGUGUUGUCCUCACUUUAGCUCCAAAGCCGAUGGAGGUUCACACCAUAGAAAUAACAGGGACUUCAAGUAUUUUUGUUCAUUGAGGGACUUUAAGAGUGUGUUUCCCCUCUAUUUUGCAAUACCAAAAGCAUGGGAGAAGAGGGAGGCUUUGAAGUGAUAAAGAAGGCAAUUUUGAAUCUCUCACUUCACUAUGAAGAGCACAUCAGCACCUCCUAUGGAGAAGGAAAUGGGAGAAGGUUAAUGGGCAAGCAUGAAAUAGCCAACAUUGACACAUUUCCUUGGGUAAUGCUCAGAAGAAGCGUAACAACUCUUACUCAAAUUCUAAGAUUGCCCAUUCAAUUGAAUCUUGGGAUGCUGGAAUUACUUGAAAUCAAUUAUGCAGGUAGUUGCCAAUUGAUGCUGCUCAUUCCGUGUAGGCUGUGACACUAAGAGGCAAGGAAAAGGUUACUUGGAAGAUCGGGGUCCUGCCUCAAACAUGAACUCAUACGAUGUGAUCUCGUUACAUGCAGAAACAACAAUUUUAUGAGAGCCCACCCUUGAGGCUGAAGCUCUUGUUGCUCAUAAGUUUGCAUUAAAGGUCUAAAAUUCAAGUUGCUAGUUAAGAAAGGCCGAAUGCAUUAAUCAAAUCAGGGAGGACCCACAGGCUGAGAGACUGUGAACCUCUUUUUUCUCCACAUUUAGGUCAUUGAGAGAAGAUCCUCAUGUAAGAAGAGCUUCCCAGACGGAGAGAAAAUUAGGCGUCCAAGCUCAGACCUGGUCUUCCUCACAUUGUUUUCAUACUACAUUCGCGAGUAGUCUUAAUGUUUUGGCAUUUGAGUUCAACAUUACCCUUUAGCGUGGACAUCUUGCUUUGUUUGAA